GGGGGGGGGGGGGGGGUGUGGGUUGGUGUGGGUGUGUGGGUUGUGGUGGUGGGGAGGUGUUGGAACUCCAAGUAUGCAUUGCGCAACUGACAUCCAGUUAAUAAUGAGACAAGGGACGUUGCUCCUGAACAGAAAGGGACUGUUGUUCGUCCAGCUCUUUUUGAGCUGUUCUGAAAGUGAUGAUAGAGUCCGGAUGACAAGACUUGAAGAUUGCUUCAUUACGGGUUUUCCAAACAUACCAGCACAUAAAAGCCGCUAAUUUCAACUCUCUCUUGUCAAUGCCAUUAGGUACAUUAGUCAUCAAUUCCCACCAUUCUUUAAAAGAUCUAAACCCAACCUCGGAGGGAAAGAAACCUAAGGCAGAACCAAACUAUGCUGCUUUUCCAUGAGAACAAAGAAUCAGAAGGUGGUCCAUAGUUUCAGUAUGAUGAUUGACAACUAGGGGUGAUGAGGAGCCAACAGAACCUCUUCCAUUGUUCACAGGUCUCACUACUAGAGCAAGAACAAGAAAACUUCAAAAUCUAGUCAUUGAGCAUUGGAGGCACCACGAGACAAAUGCCAAUCACAUUGAACCGUCAUGUUUAUUAUUGGAGACCAAGUGGAUCAUUCUCACCCAAAUAGGCAAUAUGCCGCAUGGUGCCACGUCAUCACCCACGAGGUGACAUGUCCCUCCCACAUUCGGCCAACCUGGCAUUUGGAGAUUACUUGGCUGCCAUCUUACCAAUAUGUAUGGCUUUAGAUGAUUUGGCCAAUUGAGCAAAUCUGGAAUGUUCUCCCCAUGACAGCUAUCCCAAAUCUAGAAUAUUCUUUCCCAUACCAGAUGCCAUAUUUUAAGGAGGAUAUUUUCAUUUCUUUUAUCUUAUAAUGCCAUGUAGGCAGCACUUUGUUAGUGCCCCAUCUUUAUAUAUACAUGUCUUCUUUAUUUUUUUUGGGUAACUUGAAGAGUCAUUUUUUAGAGAAAACACUCCAGAGAAUUCUGCCACCAUUGUUGAAUGAGUGAGCUUGUAUUUUCUUCCUUGUUUCUUGUAAGAACUUAGAUUUAAGCAAUCUGAUCACAUUGCUUGUCUUAUUUUGAUGAUCAAGGUACUCUUUGACAGGUUCUAAUUGUAUUUUGACACUCGAUCAAUACAUUUUCUUUUGCAUUUCUUCUUAGUGCCUUAUCACAUUGAUUGAUAUUGUGUUGAGUGGAUGCAAAGUCUGCCUUGUUGGAUGGAUGAAUUUGGGUGCUGUUUGUGAGUGCUUAUCAAGGGGACUCAGCACAUUUGUGCUUGAAUAAAUUCUCUCUUAUGGCCAGUGAAUUCCUACUAGAUUUCCACAUAAAAAUACGAAUCUUAUGAGGUACUGGAAGCGACUGUUGAAAAAAUAAUUUGUAAUUUCCUAUAUAUGUCUAGGUUCAUUUGUCUUUUAGUUUUUUCUUGGUGAUUAAAUAUAAUUAAUGUAAUAGUUCAAAGCAUGUGUCUUUUUUGGUUUCUUAGAUGGUUCAUGAAUGGAUAUUAACUUAGGUUCAUGUAACUAGAACUUGAGGGGUUGCCUAAAC
rnacentral:misc_RNA from 1 species